AUCCCAUCCCUAAUCCCCCACCCCCUCGAUCGGCGGCUACCAUCCCUGAAUCAGACCACCACCGUCGCCGCCCUCCUGAAUCGCGCCACCGCUGCCGCCCCGCCCCACGACCCGCAGCUCCCGGCCUCCCAGCGCACUGCCUCCAUUCCUCCCAGCGUGCCGCCGCCCUGCCCCAUGGCGCCCAACUGCUCCGCCUGAUCUCCGCCGCCCACUGGACCUGGCAAGCAGUGCCACCCUUGGCCACGGAUAGGGGUUGCGGCCUUCUCGGGGUGCCGCCAUGACCUUCCCAGAGGGGCGACUGCGACCUUCCCCAGCCCCGCCCAUCGACGCGGCGGCUGUCGGCGGCCUUCUAUCCACGUUGGAGCUGCCCCCUUUCUAGCGUCACUGGCCUCCUCCCAUAGCCUCGCUCGAUCCAGCGUCGCUGGCCUCCUCCCGCAGCCUCGCUCGAUCAAGCGCUGUCAGCCUCCUCCCGCAGCCUCGUUCGAUCCAGCGCCACCGCGACAAACGGUCGAACUAGCUGGGCCGAAAUGCAGAGCGCAACAAUCGUGCGCCUCCACCUGGCGCAUCCUCCAGGAGACGUAGGGGAAGUUACAAUCAUCGCCCCCUCGCUUAGCCUUCUCUCUCCGGCCGCCCCUUUUCCUCAUGUCCGGCGACGAGCGCAAGACCAUACCAGACAACUCACAUAAAUUUACCCUGAACUAACAAAAAAAAUCGAUCUGGACUAACAAGUGCUUGAUGACCUCCUCGGCUCCUCCCGUGCAUUCCCAGUCACUGCGGGUUUCCAUGUGCAGUAGUGUUGCUGCUAUUUUCUCCUUGCAUAGUGCUCUCGGUGCUGGUCUAUCCCUCUACUUCUUCUCCUCUCUCUACUUCUGCUAUUAAAGUCAAUAAGUUCAAAAAUUGGAUGUGUGAUGGUUCAUCGUGUAGGGAAGUGCAGAAAUUUGCUUCUAUUUCGCGGUGCCAGCUAGUAGAGCAAUGGAGCAGCAUCCUCACAGUGUGCCUUUGCCCAGGAGAAUGUGGUCGCAGUCAGGGCUGAAUUCCAUUUCAUUCCCCGUCUCUCUCUCUCUUUCUCUUAAAUUCAUCAAAUUCAUGUGUUACUACUAUUUUGAUGCUAAAAACAGAUGCAUGUUCUUGCUUGGUCGUCCCUUGCCGGGUGGUCGGCUGCCAACCUCCAUGUGUACGAGUGGUGCUGCUACUUUCUCCAGCCAUUGCACCAGUGGUCUGUGUAGAGAGAAGGAGACGUGCAUUUUGUGUGUAUGAAGUGGAUGUGGCGUGUGGUUGUGUGUGCGCGCAUUCUGUGUCUGUUUAGUGCAAAACUGGUAGUUUGGUUUCUUUUUGUGUAUAAAAAUAAAAGAAGUUCAAAUACUCUGUAUAAGAAAUGGAAAAGAUUCAAAAUUGUGUAACAAAAAAUUGAAGUUUGUAUAGGAAAUUCAUGUCCAGAGAAAAAUGUAGAUUCAAAUUGAA